CAUUUCUUGGGCCACUCUCGCAGCAUAUGGAGGUUCCCACACUAGGGGUCGAAUCAGAGCUGUAGCCACCAGCCUACGCCAGAGCCACAGCAACGCAGGAUCCGAGCCAAGUCUGCAACCUACACCACAGCUCACAGCAAUGCUGGAUCCCUAACCCACUGAGCAAGGGCAGGGAUCGAACCCAUAACCUCAUGGUUCCUAGUCAGAUUCAUUAACCACUGUGCCACGACAGGAACUCCCUGCUACCUAAUUUAAAUUGAAGUGAUUUGACCCUAUGAAGUAGGUGAUUCACAGCUAUGCUCUCCCUUCCUCUGAUAGCUAGUUCCAUUUUAAGACAAAGCAUUGAUUUAAUAAUAAAAGGAGCAAGUGUUUAUGGUACAAAUGAUGUAGACGGUAUAAAAAUGUCUUAUAGCCCAACACAGAUCACAGACAGAGUAAAGACCUGGCCAUCACCUCAACUAUAGCUGCACUUAAGAUAUGUAAAAGAAGCCUAUUAAAAUAAAAACUUUGCAAAUAAAGUGCCAAUAGCUAAAAAUGCUUUAGAAUGAAUAAAUUAUAUUGUCAGACUAGACUUGCUUACUGGAAGCUGGCAUUAUUAUUAACUACACAUUACUUUGGACAUCAAUUUUCUUUCAUUGUAAAACGCUAUGAACUUUUUUUAUUUAUUAAGAAUUAAAUCCUGUGGCUCAGGUUGUCUUUAUGUGUUAUCACUGACACGUGAUAUCUAAAAAAAGGAUACAACGGAACUUCUUUGCAGAACAGAUACUGACUCACAGACUUUAAAAAAACUUAUGGUUUCCAAAUGAGACAGGUUGGGGGGUGGGGGAAUGUGCUGGGGGUCUGGGAUGGAAAUGCUAUAAAACUGGGUUGUGAUGAUCACUUACAACUAUAAAUGGAAAAAAAAAUUCAUUGAGUAAUUAAAAAAAUUAAAAAUUGUCUUAAUUGUAUUCACCCCUUCCCCCAAAGAAAAUACUGUGAUAUUUGCUAAAGGUUCCUGGAUAUGAAAACACAGCAAAGGCCAACACUCUGAAAUAUGCCUUAUUUGUAUAGCAUGAUGUCAAAUAGCCAUAAAACAUGCCCUUCUGUGCAUUCAGCCCAGACCAGACCAUAGGUUUUAUGCUAGAAACUCAUAUCCAAAGAUGAAAGAGGCAAAGUCUUGUCAAAGAAGAACUCGCAAUUUAGAAUAAGUGGUCACAGCAUAGAACCAGGGCUAAAUUCAUCUACACACCAUUAGGUUUAUAACCCACUACUGUGUCAAGGUUUAAAACCAGAUGCUCAUAUUGGGCCCUAAUACUCUUGACUUCACAAAGAUGUUACAAAAAUUCAUUGGUUAAGAUGUUCAACAUGAUUGAUCCAUAUUAGAUCCAUGGCGUUCAAUGACUUUGAAGAAUGGGUGAGAAACAGAACCACAAUCAGUCCUGGCUUUCACUCACCGUGGUUUAUUUCUGAAAAGACCUCACAGUGUAAUAUUAUUUGUCUCCCAAAUAAUAACACAAUUUCAUUCUUCCUUGGAGACUCUACCUUAGGAGGAAGCUUGGAUGCAUGAGCCAUUAGUACUAAUUAUUCUGUAAUGUCACAGGGCUUUGGAACAAUUACCACUAAGGUUACUGCUUGGAAACAGAAUAAUUACACUAAUUGGAGUUCAUCAGCUAUUCAAUCAUCUUCGUAGUAAACUAGCACAACUGAUGAGGUGAAAUUUAGUGUCCGUAAAUGGAAGUUAUCUCAUCUCAGCUGACAAAGGUGACUUUCAGAAGAUGUGUGCCCUCCGUGAAUAUAAUGUACUGUAGGCAGCCUUUGACAAUGAACAAAUAUGGAGUGCUUGGCAAGUCCCAGAACUGCUGUCCAGUAUUGUUAUGGGUCAAUGAAACUGACACAUCCCUGCCUUCUGGGUCUUUCCAUCUAGAGGAAUGGAGACAUUAAAUAAUCACAUCAGUUUUGAGAAGUGCAAGGAUAAAAACACCAAGUACUCUAAGAGGUAUGGGGGCAGGAAAGGCGGCUCUGAGAAAGUGGCAUUUAAGCUGAGGAGUAUUUGGACAGUGGGAAAAAGAAUAUUUCAGGCAGAAAAAUGAUGGCAAAGAGCUUGGAGCAUUGGGAGAACUGAAAGGCAAGCAGUAUGGGUGAGAAUGGAGAGUAGGUUAGAGUGAGAAUGAGAUUAGUCUGAAGAUCAUAGCAAAGGGUUCUGAUAUUGCAUUCUAAGUGUAACAGAAAAUCAUGCUAUCAAAGUCUUCAGCACAGGCACGCCAUGCUUAGAUUUAGAAGAAUAUUACAGUAGUAAUCAGGCAGAGGGGAUGGAUAAAGACUUCGACUAGGUUCAUGGCUUAAUGUAGAGAGAAAUGGAUGGAUGUGAGGGGUAAUUAAAAAGUAGACCUGAUAAAGCUUUUCUAAAGAGCCCAGUGUUCUGGAAUGAAUGGAAGAAGAGGUUAUUGACCAGAACACGUGCACUGAAAGACCUUAGACAACUGGCUUGAAAACAGAUGUUGCCUAAGUUAAAAGAGUUAAAAUAAAAAAAUUCUACAGUAACCUACAUUGCAGAUUUUAUGCAGAAAAUAAUUCACCAGUGACAUUUUUUAUGAAAGGUAUUAAGCAGUACCAAAUUUCAAUGAGUUUAGGGCUUGUGGUUCAUCUAGCAUCAUCAAAUUGAACUACUGUAUUCAAUUAGACCAUGGACUAAUGAGAUAAUAUUUUUAUUGCCAUAGUUAACAUGAUGUGACCUGAAGCUUGAAACAGAAAGGCAAUGAUUGAGUCAAGUGACAGGGCUUUUUCAAAAGGUGUAAACUGCUUUCUGAAAAAGAGGCUCUCAAAGAGUCAAAUGAAAACAUAACCACAUCCACAUUUGUUGAGAAUGCCCCUCAAAGAAUCCCUUCAGUAUCACUACUUAUUUUAUUACUUGGAAAGGCCCCAAAAUCCAUUAGCCUUGUCUUGUAUUGUCAUCAAAGCCCUCAUGUGACUCCUGACACUAACUUCCCAUCCUUAGUGUCCCACUGUAUAGAAAAUUACCAAAACUCCAACCAUUCUAACCACCUUUGCUUAAAGCCUGUAUCUUCCAAUGCCUUCAAGUCUCCAUCCAAUAAAACCUGCCCCAUAGUAAGAUACUGUGCAGGUGAAUCCUUCCUAAUAAGCAUGGAUGCUAGAAUAGGAUUUUAAACUGGCCUUGCCAUCUGGUCUACCCUUCCAUCUAGAGUAGGAGAGGCUCUUUACCAAGGCCACUUACUGGUAGAUUUUUAAAUGGGCUUUCCCAGAAUAAGCCUAUUUUAAUUUACUCAAGACUGGCUAGUGCUUUACAUAACAGGGACUAAAUAACUUCUUCUCUCUUUCUUUAUUCACUCCUGCCAUAUUUGGGUAUAGAGAAAACCAAAAAGGAAAGCCUUCAAGCAGAGGGAAAGCACGAUAAAGUCAUGCUAGAAGGAAAAAAUAGGUUUCACCACUUAUUAAUGCCUGCUGAUUGGUGGCAACUGCCUAGAACACUGUUAGGAAGGAUUCUAAGACCUCAUCCACGUACCCACCACGUCCAUCAUGAGCACAACAGAGGGUACCUGCAUAUAUCCUUUGCCAUCCCACUAUAAGGGAGCCACAGAAAUGGGCUUUGCCUCCCACAUAGGCUCUACCUUUUCUAGUGAGGUGCAUCUUAAGGAAAUUAACUUCUCUGCAUCUCAUGGUGUCAAAAGAAGACACUACUUAGGCUGGAUUCAUGAAGAUUACACCACAGCUGAUCCUACCCUCUACAUUCUUCCUGAGGGCAGGGAACAUCGUAAGGGGCUUCGUUCGAAUGUUCUUCACUGUAAACCAGCUUUCCUAAUAUGAAACGUCAUCUGUUAAAAGCUGAGCUGUAUCCCUCCAAAUUCCUAUGUUUUGACAUACUCAAAUUUCCAGUACUUCAACAUGGGACUGUAUUUAGAGAGAGAGCCUUUAUAAGGUAAAUUAAGUUAAAGUGAGGUCAUCAAGGUGGUUAAUCCAAUAGAAGUGGUGACCUUGUAUAAAAGGAAUUAGGACAUAGAGAAGAAGACCCUUCUUUAGGGGAGGACCCUUGAGGACACAGCAAGAAGGUGGCCACCUACAAGCCAGGGAGAGAGACCUCAGGGCAAAUCAAACCUGUCACCUUGAUUUUGAAGUUCCAGCCUCCCAGUCUGGGCUAUUCUGUUAGCGGAGCCCUAGCAGACUGCAAGCCAGGAGCAAAGCAUCCUUGUCUCUUCCAUUCCUAUUACUGUGUGAGCAUCUCUGCUCUCCUCUCCCUCCCCUUCUUCCUCAGGUUCUAGUCUCCUUUGCUCCCCUGAAAAGGCUAGAAGGAGGGGGCGCUGGGGCUUAGAAAGGAGGUUAUUGACUACUGAUCCAGAACAAUGCCAUUUUGCUUCCUGCAACGUAUUAAAAAUCCUGCCCACACAAGGGGAAUCAGACACUCUUAGGAACAGAAAGAAAUGACGUACCCCUCGCUCCAUCCAGACUUGUGGCUGCAAAAGCACCUAGCUGAAAUUUCCCUCAACUACAGCCAUUUCCUCCUUUUCAGAAGGAUGUUUUACAAAAUUUAGUAUGAAGUAAGAAAUGCUAUUGCUCUCAAGUGCCUCUCCCUCUCUCAAGAUGAGACUGUUUUUUUUGUUUGUUUGUUUGUUUUUUGUUUUUUUAAGGGAUGCACCCACGGCAUAUGGAAGUUCCCAGGUCAGGGGUCAAAUUGGAGCUGUAGCUGCCUGCCUACACCACAGCCACCGAAACAUGGGAACCUUAACCCACUGAGUGAGGCCAGGGAUCGAAUCCAUAACCUUGUGGUUCCUAGUGGGAUUCAUUUCCGCUGCACCACAAUGGGAACUCGAUGAUGGAGCUGUUUUUUAAUUAGGCAGGGUGGUAAUUAAGUGCAUUAUCAGAAUCAGAUUUCAAUGAAAUUCAUCCCCAGCCACUUACACCUCACACUAACCAUGCUGCAUAUUAGUGACCUAAGGCAUUUAUUCUAGCAGUUAUUUUCUCUACCAGGUAAACUAUGCAAACAAUGGCUAACGUGUCAGGGCCUGCCGGAUUCCCAAGCUGUGUGCUGCUAACAUUAGCUGCAUUAUACGAUUCUGUCUCAAUACCCUAAAGGGCUUGGGGGCAGGUGUUUGAUUUUUAGACAUAUUUCCCCCAGAUCACACCCUCUUCCAAUAGGAAUCAUGCCCAACUUAAAACUGGCUUGAGAUGGGGUUUUUUUGUUGUCGUUGUUGUUGUUUUCCACUCCCCUUAGAAACAGCAAUAACACUUUUUGUAGUGUUACUUCAUUUUGGACUUUACCUUUGAUCUGGAAUUCUUGGCUAACUUACUGCAGAAACGACAAAGGAUCCUCCUUAGGUGGCAUGCCUGGCCACGGGGAUCAAUACCAGAAAGAGUCAUGCAAGCAGCAGCUCUUGGUCUGAAAGAAGGCAGGUUAAAGGGGGUCGGCGGGAGCACAAAUCCUAAUCUGCGGCAAAUCCUAACUUGUCAAGUGCUUCCUCCAAUCACCACUUCUCCCCCUACCACGGUAAUAAGAGGUAACACGGGCAUAUUCCCAUUGCCGAAAAUAAGGAGACAGUCAAAGAAUGUUACUAUUGACAACAUCAAAGUUUAAAGCACA
rnacentral:lncRNA from 1 species